rnacentral:rRNA from 1 species
CACGUAGUUAGCCGGUGCUUCUUAUCCAGGUACCGUCACCCAAAAGGCUUCUUCCCUAGCGAAAGGAGUUUACAACCCGAAGGCCUUCAUCCCCCACGCGGCGUCGCUGCAUCAGGCUUGCGCCCAUUGUGCAAUAUUCCCCACUGCUGCCUCCCGUAGGAGUCUGGGCCGUGUCUCAGUCCCAAUGUGGCCGUACACCCUCUCAGGCCGGCUACCCGUCGUCGCCUUGGUAGGCCAUUACCCCACCAACAAGCUGAUAGGCCGCGGGCUCAUCUCGCACCGAAAACUUUCCACCACACACACUAAAGCAUGGUCCUAUCCGGUAUUAGACCCAGUUUCCCAGGCUUAUCCCGAAGUGCAAGGCAGGUCACCCACGUGUUACUCACCCGUUCGCCACUCGAGUACCUCUGCAAGCAGAGGCCUUUCCGUUCGACUUGCAUGUGUUAAGCACGCCGCCAGCGUUCUCCUGCGCAGGAUACAACUACU